GCUCUGCGCACGCGCGGACCCUCGCAGGGUCGCCGGGAACGCGGGCGCGAAGACUCCCCCCGAGCUUCCCGCUGCGGCCCCCAGCUCCUGCGACGCCUUGUUGUCGCCCCCGCCUCAGCCUUGACCUCCCCCUCGCCGCGCCACACACGCGCGGGCUUUCACAAGUAACUGGAAGAGCGGGCCUGGCCUGCGCCGGAGGUUUGGUGGGACCUGCCGCCCCACCCGCCGUGAUGGGCCGUUACCACCCUCUUAAAGGAGCCCGGGAGGAAGGGAUGCGGCCCCAGCGGGGACUGCACAGAACUGAGCGCACAGCCAUCGUCUAGACCAGCGUAACUGUCCGGAGCUCUGCAGAGGGGUACCGAAAUGUGGGAAGAGUGACUACACUUUUCCAAGCCGUGAUUUAGAAUGUCUGGGGGAUUGUGAAAUUGGCUUGGUGGAUGGAGUCCGUAAUUAGGUCUAUUGGGCACCGAGAAUACAAGGAUGAACAAAUCACAAUCUCUAUUCUGCAGAGGCUGGUAGAGAAGAAAAAACAUGAAAAAAGAAUUAUAAAUGUGGAAAGUACCACAAUAGGGGUAUGCACAAGGCACUGGGACAGCACAAAAGAAAAAAGUGCUUCAUUUUGAAAUUUUCAGUUAAGGUUUGAUACAGAAGGUGAUUUUGUAGCUGAGUCAGAAAGGACCAAGGGAGUCACUUGGGAAGACAAGAGAGGAAAUGGGGAAAUUACUAACUUCACUAAUAAAUUGCACAGUACUAUGAAAGUGUUAGGAACCUUGGAAUAAAAUGACUGUAUCAUCUUGGAGUUUGUAGCAGUAAAGGAAAUGCAGCAUGCAAGAUUAGUGCAAAAUAUAUCUAUUUAGUAAAUUGAUUAUAUUUCAAAGGAAAGAUAUUUAGGAAGUAGACUAUAGGUGAAAGAUAAGAAUGACUCACUGGACAAGAUAUUCUAAAAGGUACCCUUGUUCAAGAAGCAUGAGUGAUUCUUGAAAAAUGAAAUUAGGUAAUACGAGCUCAAAUAAUUUUGCUGCUCAUAAAGCCCAUUAGAUAAAGACCAUCAGGAGCAAACCUGUAACCCAGCAAGGUUAGGUUUAUUGCCACAGCAAACACCACCACACAGCAGAGGAACCAUGCGCAUGUCUCCAAAAAACAGAAGAAAUGGGGACCAUUAUAGUGUUGGGGGAAGGGAAGAGUUUAGGUAGAUUCUAAAUGAAAUAGUGCUUAACAGACUCAGAGCAAAUCAGAUCUGUGUGCAAAGGGAUUAAUAUCAAAGCUGGAUGAGAAUCAGACUAAAGGUUCUAUUUCCUUGAAAGAUAAAUUUAAGAUUAAUGUAGAAUAUUGUGUCCCCAGGCGCCUUAUCUGACCCUCUGCACUGAAAAUUGAGGCUGCUUCUCUAAGUUAAAGUGGCUUGGGUGGUUUACAUCCUCCAGGCAAGAAAGGAAUGUUCUGUUCCUACUAAUAUGAGUUCCAGACAAUGAAGUUUCCAUCAACCUAGGAUUUUAGAAAGUUCCUUAGCACUGUGUCCUUUGAUGAUUACCCAAAGCAAUUUUUCAGAUUCACACUUUACAAUACUAAAUAAUUAAGAAAAAAUGUGAUUUUUAUUGGGAGAUCUCAAGGAGCUUUCAUUUUUAAAGAAUCUGAACUGCUAACAAGGGAGAGGAGACCAGUAUAUGGAGUUAGGGAAUGUAGGAAGCCUGUUGAAGAGAUGUUGUGUCAGCCAGCCUCCAACACUGUCCCUAAUAAUCCUUGCUUCCUGGUGUUCGUGCCUUUGUGUAAUCUUCCUCACUUGAGGGCUGAUCUGUGUGCACAAGGGAGUACAGCAGAGGUGACGGUAUGUGACCCCUGAGACCCUUGAGCACUGUGGCUCCCGCCUUGGUCUCCUGAAUUGUUUGCUCUCAGGGAAGCCAGCUGCCACAGAGAACAGUCAGACAGCCCUGGGGAAGACUCGAGGACACCCACCAGGAGCCAGCUCCACGUUGCUAGCCUUGGGAGCAGGUCUUGCGUCCCCAGUCAAGCCUUAGGUGCCUGCAGCCUCGUAAACAACCCCGAGCCCAAACACUCAACGCAGGUGUCGCACUCCUGACUCACACCCACUGCGGGAGAUAAUAAGUGCUGAUCAUUGUUAUCAGCUAUGAAAUUUUGGGGUCAUUUGUUCUACAACUGAUGUGACUUGAUCCAAGCCUUAAAAAACAGGUAGACAAAAGGGGCUUUAGGAGAAGAUGUAAUAGGGGCAAAGCUAUUGAGACAAGAAGGUACAAAGCAUAUUCUGGAAGACGAUCAAGUCUGGUGUGGAUGGAGGUUCGAGAAGAGGUGUGAGAUGGAGAAAAGGAUGAAAUGUUUCAUGGAAGUCAACUUGUGGAAGAUCUGAAACACCAAGUUAACCAGAGUUGGUGUAUCCUCAGACCCUGCAGAGUGUUGGCACAGAGCAGACACUACCUGCACAGGAGACCUUGGAUGAAGCUGGGGAUCUUCUGACCUGGCAUCCAGCUAACCUGGUACACUGUGCAGUUAAAGAACCCUGCUCUCCUCAAUCCUUGGGCAGGAUCUAUUUAUUCUCUUUAAACUCCAGUCUCAGUUUAAGCUUCAACAGUCAAAAGUCAUGAAGCCACCCUACCAAGCCCUGCUGAAGUGGUGAAGCAUAAAGCUUGCUCCAGGAACGGGAAAGGAAAAGGGAAAAUGAUAGGGGGGAAACAUACACUGGCGUCUCAAGAAAUUAUCCUGCUACACAUGCAUGGGGAACCUACCUACAGGAAAUUCAAAAAAAGAAUCACUGAAGGAGAAACCAGAUACCAAUGAAAGUGGUGGCACAGAAGAGUGGGAGGAAGUAGUGUGGAAAGAAUGUGAAGAGAGUAUCACUUCUCUGAGGACAUUUUUUGACUUGUGAAAUUAUGUUUAUGUUCUACAUUCUCAAAAAUUAAAUUCAACCACUGAGAAUGGGGGAAAAAAUGAAAAACUGAAAGCAAAAAAACCCCAAAUUAACCUUUCAAAUGAAUACCAUAACCACAUUGGAAAAAGAAUAAGGAAAGAAAGAGUCAGGAAGGAAAGAAGGAAGGAAGCCAAUAACUAAUAAAGAAACAUUUGAGUACACACCCUCUGUCUUGGGCAGGGCGGAGGGUAGGAAAGAAUUACAAGUGAAUCCUCAGCCCGUUUUACAGAUUUGUUCAUUGUAGUAGUAAGGGCAAAUACUGAAGCUGUUUUAGAAUAUAUUAUAGGAUUGAACAGAUGUAUUGAUGUUCUUGGGAGCUAGAGAGCUCACAGAGGAAGAAGGGACAUACAAAUACAGAUUGGAAGAAGACAAGACAGAACCCUGAGAGGAUGGAUUGGAACUGGACGUCUCAGGCCACCUAUUAAUUACAACAGAGGAAAAUUAGUUAUUUAAUAAUGAAUAAAUUAGACAACAUCUCGACUGGGCAAUCCAAAUGAACAUCAGCAAUGCAGGACAGGUGGGCAGCGCAUGCCUCUGACUGCGCUACCUCGCGUCUUCUAUGCAGUGUUCUGGUCUGGAAUGCAUCAUGCGGACCUAAUCAUGAAGAAACACCAGAACAACCUGAAAUGAGGAAGAUUUUUUUAAAAGAAGAUAAAAGGUGUAGCAUAUUUGUCAAAAAUGUAAUGUCAUAAAGACAGAGAAAGGCUUUAGAAAUAUUCCAGAUUAAAGGAGGCUGAAGAGUGGUGACAGUUAAAAGCAACAGUUACCUCUGCACUGGGUUUUGUGUUGCAGGAGGUAGGAACCUUUGUUGAGAACGUUAUUGGGUCAAUAACUAACAGAACUGGGAUAUAAUUGAUAGAGUAGAGUAUUAUACUGAUGUUAACUUCACUGAAAUUGGUAGCUACCCUGUGAUUAUAUUAGAGAAUGUCCACAUUCCAAGGAAACAUAUAGUGAACUUUUUAGGGGUAAAGGGCCAUAAUUUUGGAGCAAAGGGCCUUUAAAUGGUUCAGGGAAAACACACACACACACACACACACACACACACACACACACACACACACACACACAUAAAAAGAGAGCACACACACAAAUGAUAAACUAAGUUUAGAUACUUUCAAUGGAUAAAUCUGGAUUAAGGGUGUAUGAGUGUUUUUGUGCAACUUUAAUUUUUGCUACUUUUGGUAAAUUUGAAGUUAUUUCAAAAUAAGUUUUUUAAAAAGAGAAAAAUUCAAGACUAAUUCAAGAAUACUCACCGUAGCUUUACUCAUAGCAGCCUAAACCUAGACCCCCAUGUUCAUCAACAGAAGGACAAGUCAACAGACUGUGAUCCAUCCAUACAAUGGAACACUAUUCAGCAGCGAAGAAGGAAGGACUGCUGAUAAGUACAGCAACUUGGACGAGUCCCAGAAACACCGGAUAAAAGAAGACACACGCACACGCACACAUACGCACACACACACACACGCACACAUACGUGCGUGCACGCACACAUGCACCCACGCACACAGACACACACAACUUGACUCAAUGACUAUGAGGUGCAAGAACAGGCAAAUACAUGUGUGACAGGUCAGAGAGUGGGUGCAUUUGGAAGUAGGGUGAAACUGACUACAAGAUAGGAUGAAGGGACUUUCUGGGGUGAUGAAAAUGAUCUAUAUUUUGUUUGGGGUGGUGAUUUCAUGGGUAUUUACAAAUACCAAAACUCAUCAAACUGAACCCUUAAGAUCUGUACCUUUUAUGGUCUAUAAAUUGUAACUCCAAGUAAAUGAAUAAAUGUUAAACAAACAAGCAAAUUUUUUUUAAGGGAGAUAUCUUAAGGGACAUUCAGGUUGAAAGAGAUGUUAAACAUCUCUGGAAUGUAUUCCAAUGUUAAGACCAUUAUGCCCUGAGAAAGACCCUGGGUGUCUAAAAAUAGGAAAGGAAAUAAAUGAUCUUAAGAAGAUCUAGGGUAUCUGAAAACAUGGAAGGGAAAUAAUUUUUUUAACUUUUUUUAUUGAGUUAUAGUCAUUUUACAAUGUUGUGUCAAAUUCCAGUGUAGAGCACAAUGUUUCAGUUAUACGUGAACAUACAUAUAUUCAUUGUCACAUUUUUUUUCACUGGAUCUACCAUAAGAUCUUGUAUAUAUUUCCCUGUGCUGUACAGUAUAAUCUUGUUUAUCUAUUCUACAUUUUGAAAUCCCAGUCUGUCCCUUCCCACCCCACUGGAAGGGAAAUAAUUUAUCUUAAUCUUCUUGGAACCAAACCUUAGAAUACUUAAGAAUGUCCUGUGGGAGGUACGGUUAAUUUCAAAACAUAACUAACCGGUUUGCUGGUCCAGAGAGGUAGAUGCGUACAUGGCUACAGUGGGAAGGAUGUCUAGGUUUCGCUGCGUGGGUUUUUUUCCAUACGUGUGAGGAGUGGCGCAUCUUCACAGAACUGGGGCCUGUUUGGGCACCAUUCGUAUCCUGGUUCGCCCCCGCUGGGCGCCAGCCAGGGCUGCCACUACACGUGUUAGCAAGUUCCACCAAGUUCAGGCAUCCAUCUCUAGCAGCACAUGAAGGAGUUCGUUUUAUUCAAGUGAUAAAAGGAUUAGUUCACAGAAACUACAAUGCAUAAUAGAAAUAAUGUUAAUUGAAAUAUCUGUGCCAUAGUUCAAGUACCCACAGUCAUUACGGCAUAGUUUUAUAACUGCAGCAGCUCCUCUGCUGUGGCUGCUGGUGACGCCUUCGUCCAGAGGCACUGGGGUGGUGUUCUGUUCCAGUCCUGUGGCAGCUCUGUGACUUUGGUCGGGCUGGCUCUGUGAGUUCUGUCCUUGACUUCUUUUGCUCUGGAGUGCCCCGCUGGUCCAGUUGAGGGGGUCGCUUCCUGUUGUCACAGCUAGCAUACAAAUUCUGGAGUUUGCCAGUCUUCUUAGUUCACCAAAUUCAGUUUCAAGGGCACAGAUUUUCUCAGUGAUUCUUUUGUUGUUCUAGAAUGUUGUGCUUCUAAUUACUGUUACUGCAGUCUUUGCAAAACAGGGACUUCCAUGAGAAAACCUCUGGGGGCGCUUGCUGUCUGUGAGCGUCUCUGUGAAUCCUUACUAACCCCCGCUGCAGCCAGAGUGGAAGCGGUUUUUAACAGCCUUCCAUGGCCUAACGUGGAAAGUAACGAUCACCCUCCCCCGACACACAGCUGCCCUUUUACCUAGAGCUACAGCAGCUGAGGGCGAAGUGAUCCGCUUACACCGCGCGGCGUUUCACGAGUCAUUCAUUUCACACUCACCCGUGUGUGGGUUGCAGAUUGAUCGGGAUGAGAGUGCAUGCCUUUGAACAAAAACCCCAGGAAGCGGACAGAAAAACGAGCAAGGGAUCUUGAAUCUGAGUUUCACCUCGUGUUUUUGUCAUAAAUAACUGUGCGACCUUAAUCUCUGGUUCUCAGCUUGCUCGGACGUGAAAUAAAUAGUUCAGCACUGGCUGCCUCUGAGGGUGGGGCUUGGAGCUCCUGGGCCAGACAAGGACAUACCGACGGAGACGAAAAGAGCCAAGAAGUAGACAGGCUCUUACAUAAGGCUAUUCACACGUGCAAAUGCCUGAGAGAGAACUGUUGUUCAUAUUACACGUUUCUCUACCACUAAACAAAAAUAUGCGUGUAUUACUUUUAUACAUUUUAAAAACACAAAAAUUAUAAAAUAGAAAACUUUUGGAGAAGUUGAUUUCUAACAUCCUUUAUUGCUUAAAAAUGUUUAUUAUUAAAAAUGUUACCAGAAGGUGUUAGGGCAGGGAAAGAAUGUAUGAAAACGCAUGGCAUCACUGCAUGGGGGUGGAGGGAGAGCCGACCUACAUCAUUUGGGAAAAGAGUGUUUUUACUGGAAACUGGAAGACUAAAGACAAGGAGAACAGACCCAAAACACUGUAUUUUACUUGGUAACCGUGUGUCACACAAGGGCACAGUUUAGCAAUUCUGAUGCUGCUUUACAAGUAGACUAGGGUUGAACAAAAAUAAAUGAAUUAUAGACAAUGGGGAUCAUGUUUCUCAUUUCAGAGAAAGUAGAUUACAAAUUAGCAAAGGAGGGAAGACUAGAAUGAACUGUGUGGAGCUUGAUGAAUCAAAGAUAUCAGUGUAAAUUCAGGUAGAUAAAAACGGAUGAUACAGAAAUAAAAAGAACUUCAUUGGCCAAACUUGGCACAGUAUGAGCAAUAAGAUUAGUAACAAUAGUAUUGGAUUAUGACUCCAAGAAUAAAAUAAGCAUCUAUUACUCCAUACUAAUAUAAAUAAGUGAUUGAAUAAAUAAACAGAGAAGAAGGGAAAACUCUUCCUUAGAGGAAAAAAUCCCAAAAUUCCAAAUAAUAAAUGUAGAAGAAAUGAGGGCAAUAGAAAAAUCACCGUUUGAGCACCACAGUAAUAAUUAUUCAAGGAUGUAUGCUAAAAUUAGUGGAUGAAACUUUAAGGAGAAACAAAAUAUUUGCAUAGCCUCUCGCUGAAAUAUUUACUAAGUGCUUUAGUGGUUUUUAACAUAUGCCCACAAAUUCUUUGACACUCCUCCCUCCAGGAGGUGCCAUUCAUUUCCCUAGGUCUUGAAAUGUUAGCUGGACUUAGAAACCCACUUGUAAUAUAAUGUGGAAAGGGAAAAAUAGUAAUUUUACAGUGUAGGAAUGGCAGAUGGCAGACAUCAUCUUAACCAAGAGAUGAAGGUUAGUAUCACCAGUAAUAAGUUGAUUGGUACAUGUUGAUAUCAUGUAUCCUUGAUACGAUGCAAUGAGAAAGGCUCUUCAUCUCUGUGCUGUUCUCAAAACCCCACAGCCCCAGUCUAAUGAGAAAACAUCAGACAAACUCAAAUGGAGGGCCAUUCUACAAAAUAUCUGGCCAGUGCUCUUCAAAGGUGUCAGGUUCAUUAUAAAAACAAGGAAAGACUGAGAAACCAUCACAGAUUGGAGGAGACUAAGGAGAUAUGCUCACUAAAUGCCAUGUGGUAUCCCACUGACUCCUUGAGCAGAAAAAAUGUAAGUGGGAAACCUAGUGAAAUUCAAAUAAAGUCUGUAGUUUAGUUACUCAUGUCUACCAAAGUUUAUUUCUUAGGCUUGGAUAAAUACCCCAAAUUACACAAUGUAAUAGCAUUAGGGGAAGCUGGUGAAACAUAUGCAAGAAUUCUUUGUAUUAUCUUUGUAACUUGUAACUUUGUAGCUUAUCUUUGUACUAUCUUUGUAACAUCUGUAAAUCUAAACUGCUUCAAAAUAGAAAGUUGGGGAAGAUGUUAUAUGAUAAAAUGCACUGUGUCAAAAUAAAAAAUAGGUACGUCUAAUCAGGAGCCCUAUUGUUGAGUCCAGAAUCAAGUUAGAAACUAGAAUGAAUGAAUAAAUCCCAAAAAGAUGUUAGAUGUAAAGAAAUAUAGGCCUUUACACUCUUUUUUUCUUGAAAUAUAGCCAACACCUUGGAUUUAUUAACAGAGCUGGGCACAUACCUCGCACGUCGUGUGAAACUAGAACUCAUUAUUUUGUCAUUAGCUUGCUUUUCGUAUCUCUAAAAGAACCUCAGGAGAUCAUCGAGUCCCAGGCUGGGGAACCGUUUUCACUCCCAUCCAGGCCCGUAGACCCAUAGAAAAACAUGAGCAUUAGUACAAAGCAAUUUAAUGCCAUUUCAGUUGCUAGAUGUUGUUUUUUUCUCCCCAGAGAUAGAAAUGUGUGAUGAAUUAUAUUUGUGUGCAUUUAAAAUUAAGAAGAGUUACAUAAAAUUGUUCUAUAAAUGAAAAAAAAAAACAACCUUCUAUUCAUACUAGUAACAGCUUAUGGAAGGAAAGGGGAGAGAACGGAAGAGGAGGAGGAGCUGCCGGACACCCCUGGGUGGGUGCUGCCUCCGUGGCGAAGCUUCGCGGGGUGGCCUGGAGAACGAGGUUGGAUGCAGUGUUUCUGUGAAGCAGCCCCGAGCGAGAAGCGCCUGCGAGUAACUGCAGUCGGUGUUCUGGUAAAGGAUGAACGUCAGAGUUCACUGCGGAGAUUCUGUAGUCAGGUCCAAGGAGGGGAAAGGGAAAGACUGAGUAAUUACUAGAGCUUCCGUACACAGUGGCGUAUCUCAUUUUAUUCCCGAACCAGCCCUGCGAGACACGUACUAUCAGCCUCCUUCUACAGCUGGGGAAACUAAAGCUAAGGGACACUAAGGAACUUGCCCAGGGUCACACAGUCAGUAACUGGAGAAGACAGAAUUGGAACCUAGGUGAAUGUGCCCUCAGAGUUUGCGCUCUUAACCACAACACAAAAAGAGUCGACAGCUGCGCAGACACAGGAACCAAGAAGACAAAGAAAGGAUAGGCAGGAAUACUGUGGGAGGGAGCAGCGUUUGCCUCUGGCGCCUGAGAUUCACUGCUAAUGGCUGCAACCACACACACCUACAGAAGCAGUUUGUCCCCAAUUCCAGGGCCAAUUUUCCAGCCAGCUCUGUCCUGUGCAGGCCUGGAGUUCGGCAGAGUCGAGGCUGCUUGGAUGGAGACUGGGAACCCUUCCACCACGACAGAGUGGUGUCUGGAAGGGGUGUGCUGCUCUCAAACCUGCCGGCAAGAGUACUGUUUCUACACUGGCUAAAACAACUGAAAAACUAGAGAAGAACAAACUGAUUUUCAAAGCCUCGUGUUCCUUGGGUUACCCUUCCCAGCUUCCCUGUCGCAGGUGGCAUCUAGUGUGCCUUCCCCAGAAGCUAUCUCGUGUCCAAACUCUGCCCCCCCGUGCCAUCUUCCUCUCUCCUCCUCUGUGAAGACUUGCCCCUUUAAAACCGGAUCCUCUGAGGAUCCAAAUGCGAAACUCCUAAUUCUGUUUCUAAAUUAACUGGAGGAAAUAAACUAGAAGGAAAGAUUAAAGUA